GAUGAAUGCUGGCGGCGUGCCUAAUACAUGCAAGUCGUACGGAAAGGCCCUUCGGGGUACUCGAGUGGCGGACGGCUGAGUAACGCGUGGGAACGUGCCCCAAAGUGAGGAAUAACUGCCCGAAAGGGUAGCUAAUGCCGCAUAUGGUCUUCGGAUUAAAGCUUCGGCGCUUUGGGAGCGGCCCGCGUACGAUUAGAUAGUUGGUGAGGUAAUGGCUCACCAAGUCGACGAUCGUUAGCUGGUCUGAGAGGAUGAUCAGCCAGACUGGAACUGAGACACGGUCCAGACUCCUACGGGAGGCAGCAGUAAGGAAUCUUCCACAAUGGGGGCAACCCUGAUGGAGCAACGCCGCGUGCAGGACGAAGGCCUUCGGGUCGUAAACUGCUUUUAUGAGUGAAGAAUAUGACGGUAACUCAUGAAUAAGCACCGGCUAACUACGUGCCAGCAGCCGCGGUAA
rnacentral:rRNA from 1 species